AACGUAGGACACAAGCGUUAUCCGGAGUUACUGGGCGUAAAGGGCGUGUAGGCGGAUCAAUAAGUCUAUUCUGAAAGCUCCUGGCUAAACUGGGAGAGGCGAAUGGAGACUGUUGGUCUAGAGUGAGGAAGAGGAAAGUGGAAUUCCGCGUGUAGUGGUGAAAUGCGUAGAGAUGCGGAGGAACACCAGUGGCGAAGGCGGCUCACUGGUCCGGUACUGACGCUGAGGUGCGAAAGCGUGGGGAGCAAACAGG
rnacentral:rRNA from 1 species